CACUCGCGUUGGAUGCGUGCCUUCUUCUUGUGACGACGAUCGACGCGCGAACACGUAUCGUCAAUUGUUUUUUUUUUAUAACAUCUUGGAACUCAUACGAGUUCAGCGCUCCCUAAGCGGUUUUGGAACUUCUUAUAAGAUUUCCAAGUUCCAACAUUAUCAUAAAAUAUUUUAACAAUUUAUCAUUUAAAACUUCAAACAUUUAGUGCGGCUACCAUAGUGAUUGGAAUAAUGAAGAAAGACAUUUUCAUUUUAAAUGAAAAUUUUUUGAAGUUUUUUUUAAUAGAAAAUUUCAAUGAAAAUAGAAGAACUUUACAUAAUAUUGUGGAUUAAAAAAAUACGAAGUGACGAUUAGUGGUACAGUGUCAAUGGAGCAUCAGGCGCAAAAUAAAAUAGUGCCAACGAGAAAAAUAAAAAUAAAAUUUAGAUUUUUUCAACGUCAACACUAAUAGAUGUAUUGUGCCAGCUAUUUACCUCAAGGACAAACAUAUAUUGCAAAAGAUGUGUCGGAAACACGAGAUCGAAAAAAAAGAAAAAAAAGAAUACCACAGAGGCGGCCAACCUGUUGUGUGCACGGGAGACAUUUGGUCUGUACGUAAAAUGCGGGUGUAACGACUCUUAAAUUGUGAGUUAUUUUUAAGGUUUUGCUUAUAACAAAAAUGCAUAAAUUAUCUGGCCACAUGCCAGAUUCCUUGUAUGGUUGUGAGAAAAACAAGGCAAUUUUGAUAUUUGCUUUUUAUAUGAAGAUGUGGAGAAAGAAAUUCCACUUUAUAAGACGCCCCCGAUAUCCGUUAUGCAUAUCGGCCUUAUACGGGCCCUAGAAGAGUGUCGGCCGUCGCAUUGUCUUUCUGUCCGUCAUGAGUGAGUCACGCCAUUGUUGGGUUACACAAUAGAUGUCUUUGUGCAUUGUGCCC